GACGAACGCUGGCGGCGUGCUUAACACAUGCAAGUCGAACGGAAAGGCCCUGCUUUUGUGGGGUGCUCGAGUGGCGAACGGGUGAGUAACACGUGAGUAACCUGCCCUGGACUUUGGGAUAACUUCAGGAAACUGGGGCUAAUACCGGAUAGGAGCUCCUGCUGCAUGGUGGGGGUUGGAAAGUUUCGGCGGUUGGGGAUGGACUCGCGGCUUAUCAGCUUGUUGGUGGGGUAGUGGCUUACCAAGGCUUUGACGGGUAGCCGGCCUGAGAGGGUGACCGGCCACAUUGGGACUGAGAUACGGCCCAGACUCCUACGGGAGGCAGCAGUGGGGAAUAUUGCACAAUGGGCGGAAGCCUGAUGCAGCCACGCCGCGUGCGGGAUGACGGCCUUCGGGUUGUAAACCGCUUUCGCCUGUGACGAAGCGUGAGUGACGGUAAUGGGUAAAGAAGCACCGGCUAACUACGUG
rnacentral:rRNA from 1 species